rnacentral:rRNA from 1 species
UCCCGUGAUUUUAGCGAAGAGGUCACACCUGUUCCCAUCCCGAACACAGCAGUUAAGCUCUUCAGCGCCGAUGAUACUUUAACAGGGAAAGUAGGUCAUCGCGGGAA